rnacentral:rRNA from 1 species
CAGUCGCCACGGGAAUACAGAGGGUGCGAGCGUUAAUCGGAUUUACUGGGCGUAAAGCGUGCGUAGGCGGCUUUUUAAGUCGGAUGUAAAAUCCCUGAGCUUAACUUAGGAAUUGCAUUCGAUACUGGGAAGCUAGAGUAUGGGAGAGGAUGGUAGAAUUCCAGGUGUAGCGGUGAAAUGCGUAGAGAUCUGGAGGAAUACCGAUGGCGAAGGCAGCCAUCUGGCCUAAUACUGACGCUGAGGUACGAAAGCAUGGGGAGCAAACAGGAUUAGAUACCCCUGUAGUCCCUGUCUCUUAUAC